rnacentral:rRNA from 1 species
AGCUCCAAUAGCGUAUACUAAUGUUGUUGCAGUUAAAAAGCUCGUAGUUGAAUUUCUGGGUAGCCCACUUCGUCUGCCUUAACGGGUGUGUACGUUGACUGGACUAUUCAUCCUUCAGAAGAACCUAUGUGGCAUUCACUUGUCAUGUAGGGGAUCUGAUACUUUACCUUGAAAAAAUUAGAGUGUUUCAGGCAGGCAAUCGCCGGAAUACAUUAGCAUGGAAUAAUUGAAUAGGACCUCGGUUCUAUUUGUUGGUUUUGUGGACCGAAGUAAUGAUUAAUAGGGAUAGUUGGGGGCAUUCGUAUUUAAUUGUCAGAGGUGAAAUUCAUGGAUUUGUUAAAGACGAACUUAUGCGAAAGCAUUUGCCAAGGAUGUUUUCAUUAAUCAAGAACGAAAGUAG